rnacentral:misc_RNA from 1 species
GGCACGCUGCACUCUCGGACCCGGCACGCCAGACGGACGCGGGGCGGCCCCGCCGCCAGCGUCCCCGAAGAGAAUCGAACGGGUCUCUCUCCCGCGAGACGCGCGCGCCCGGCCAGGCGGCCCGGCGCGGCGGCGUCGAGAGGGGGCGC